UACGUAGGGUGCGAGCGUUGUCCGGAAUUAUUGGGCGUAAAGAGCUCGUAGGCGGUGUGUCACGUCGGCCGUGAAAACCUGCAGCUUAACUGUGGGCGUGCGGUCGAUACGGGCAUCACUGGAGUUCGGCAGGGGAGACUGGAAUUCCUGGUGUAGCGGUGAAAUGCGCAGAUAUCAGGAGGAACACCUGCGGCGAAGGCGGGUUGCUGGGCCGACACUGACGCUGAGGCACGAAAGCUAGGGGAGCGAACGGG
rnacentral:rRNA from 1 species